rnacentral:rRNA from 1 species
GACGAACCGUGCGAACGUUGUUCGGAAUCACUGGGCUUAAAGGGCGCGUAGGCGGGCUCACAAGUCCGGGGUGAAAUCUCCCGGCUCAACUGGGAAACUGCAUCGGAAACUGAUCGGCUUGAAGGUGGGAGAGGGUAGUGGAAUUCCCGGUGUAGUGGUGAAAUGCGUAGAUAUCGGGAGGAACACCAGUGGCGAAGGCGACUACCUGGCCCACUCUUGACGCUGAGGCGCGAAAGCUAGGGGAGCGAACGGG